AAGAGGAGGUGGAGGCUGCAGCGCAGAGGCGGCUGGCCAAGCAGAUCUCCCCGGAGCUGUCGGCCCUGGCUGUGUACUGCCACGCCACCCGCCUGCGGACCCUGCACCCUGCCCCCAACACCCCGCAACCCUGCCAGGGAACAGCUUUGUCAGGCACAAUGCCCGCCAGCUGACCCGCGUGUACCCGCUGGGGCUGCGGAUGAACUCAGCCAACUACAGUCCCCAGGAGAUGUGGAACUCGGGCUGUCAGCUGGUGGCCUUGAACUUCCAGACGCCAGGCUACGAGAU
rnacentral:sRNA from 1 species